rnacentral:rRNA from 1 species
UUCGCAAUGCCCGAAAGGGUGACGAAGCGACGCCGCGUGUGGGAAGAAGGCUCUAGGGUUGUAAACCACUGUCAGGAGUUAAGAAAUGUAAAGGUGUUAAUAGCGCCUUUAUUUGACGAAGGCUCCAGAGGAAGCCACGGCUAACUCUGUGCCAGCAGCCGCGGUAAUACAGAGGUGGCAAGCGUUGUUCGGAAUUAUUGGGCGUAAAGAGCACGUAGGCGGUCCUGCAAGUCUGUUGUGAAAUCCUUCCGCUUAACGGGAGAACGGCAGCUGAUACUACAGGACUAGAGUACGGGAGGGGAGAGUGGAACUUCUGGUGGAGCGGUGAAAUGCGUAGAUAUCAGAAGGAACGCCGGCGGCGAAAGCGACCCUCUGGCCCGAAACUGACGCUGAGUGUGCGAAAGCUAGGGGAGCAAACGGGAUUAGAUACCCCGGUAGUCCUAGCCGUAAACGAUGGGCACUAAGUAGAGGGGUUUU